UCCUAGAUUUCUCUUCAGUACAGUUGCAAAACUUACCCAGAGUUGAUCCAUCCAUUCCCUUAGCUCUUGGCAGUUGAUUUGAUGCUGUGUGUUAUAUCUGAAAUCUUGGUUCUUCAAUUCUUACCACAUUUAUCCAGUUUUUCUGGGAUUUUUGUUCUUUGUUUUUGCUUCUUCUGUAGCUGGUGAUACAUCUCUACAAGUUUCUCACAUAAAGCUCUAAAAAUAAGGAGCAUCAGGGCCGUGAAAGCACCAUGAAUGUGUAAAAACAUUUUGAUAAUUCUAAAAGUGUUUAACAUAGAAACAUUUAAUUGUUAAGAUUUCCUACUUUAAUGGGUUCUUCUGUGAUCUUAACAAAAGAGUCAUAAUUCUUACAAUCUGAACUAAAGAGUUAAACAGGCGAUAACUGUAUUUCCUGUUAACUAAAGAAAAACCUUCAUCAAAACAAGCUGCCACACCACCACAGAACAGAGGAAGGGGAGGGUUUACCUCAGUGACAAAAGACUCGUCUUGAUUUCACAGAAUCACUGAGGAACAAUGAGAGCGACAUCCUCGACAUGGCUGUUCUUGUUGACAUCAGAACUUCUCUGGACAAGAAACCAAGCUGGUGUGACUGUGAGUCCCAGCAGAUCUCAGUUCUUUGAAGGAGACUCUGUGUCUCUGAGCUGUGAGGAGGACAACAGCUCUGCUGGAUGGACUGUGAGGAGGAACACAACCACAGAAACCAGGACUCAGUGUGAUGAAUGGGGCGAAGCUACUAACUCUUCAUGUACCUUCACUGGUGUCAUCACAGCAGACAGUGGAGAGUACUGGUGUGAGUGGAGAGAGGGAGCAGCCAGCAGCA